GACGAACGCUGGCGGCGUGCUUAACACAUGCAAGUCGAACGGAAAGGCCAGUUCUUGCACUGGUGCUCGAGUGGCGAACGGGUGAGUAACACGUGGGUGAUCUGCCUUGCACUCUGGGAUAUGCUUUGGAAACUGGGUCUAAUACCGGAUAGGAACCGUCUUUAGUUUGGUGGUUGGAUAGUUUUUUCGGUGCAAGAUGAGGUCGCGGCCUAUCAGCUUGUUUGUGGGGUAAUGUCCUACCAAGGCGUCGACGGGUAUCCGGCCUGAGAGGGUGUACGGCCAAAUUGGGAAUGAGAUAAGGCCCAGACGCCUACGGGAGGAAGAAGGGGGGAAGAAUGAAAAAGGGGCGGAAGCCAGAUGCAGAGAAGCCGGGGGGGGGAUGACGGCCUUCGGGUUGAAAAAGCCAUUCGACAGGGACGAAGCGUUAUGUGACGGUAACUGUAGAAGAAGCACCGGCUAACUACGUG
rnacentral:rRNA from 1 species